ACUUGGUUUGCAUUCGCUAUCGUAAGGCAUUAUGGGAGGUGUAGUUCUUAGUGUUUCAUGCUAUUAGUUCUCUGCAUUGUUUUGUAUUAUCCGGAGCAGAGCAUUGUGGGAGUUAUCAUUCUUUUCACAUCUGAGUUAGUUUUGAGACUACUUCAUAGAAUCACCUAAAUCUGCAACCCCAGAAUAUUGUAAAGCAAUUUUAUUGUCUUUCACGUAUAGAUGAACCAACCUGUGUUACGUGCAUGUUACAGAAUCAUAUCACAGAAAACUACUAGAGAGACAAGGUGGAUGACUAAGUGGCCAAUGCCAGCUGCCCCAGAGGGAAUGAACAGAACAGUUGUGAUCCUGCAAGUUGUUCUACAUAAGUGGAUCCCUGAGUCAAACAGUGUCUUUUUCUGGUUUGCGGAAGUGUGUAACACAUUAUUUUGGGCGCUACCACAAUCUAAAUAAUAAUGUACAAAGCUUUGGGUAUUUGAUAUGUUCUGUUCUAAACUACACAAACUUAAGUACCUACAAAAAAGUCAAUAAACAGAUCAGACCACAAUGGAGUUAUAACACACACACUCAUGUACCUGACAUUUGUAAUAGCAUAUUUAAAUUUUAAAUGCAGGUAUG